rnacentral:lncRNA from 1 species
UGCCCACCAGCUAUCCUUUAUACACACACCGAUGUUCAUUGUACUCUUAUGAUAUCUAUAUUACUACGUGUAAAAUUUGAAACCAUUUAUGUUAUAGCUAUUAUAACAUAUCACAUACUUUAUUUGCUUGUAACAUAAUGGUCUUAGCUUCCUAGGUAUGGAUUCACCUCCUUGCAUGACCUGCAUAUUAUAAAAGGAAUAAAUUAAAAAAAAAUAAAAAAAUAAAAAGACAAUGGU